GCUGAGAUGAUGAUGAUGAUGAUCUGC
rnacentral:sRNA from 1 species